rnacentral:pre_miRNA from 1 species
UCUGUGUGUUGAUGUGGUUCAGCACCAAGGACAGGCAUACACGCCUGUGUAUAAAUGGUGUUCAUCACCAAGGACAGG